AUCCCCAGCUCGGUAUAUUUUUUAAAAUCUAUUGUACUACUUGAUGAAGAACUUGACCUAAGUCCAGCCUCCUUCUUUUGAAGCCUGUCUGUCUGUCUUUCUGGAGGACAGUAUCUAGCAUGUAGAGGCUACUUUUCCCUUUCUGUCACCACCCUCUUCUGUAGUGGCGGCAUAAGAACAUGGUCACAGAUAUCAUUUUGAUUUCUCCUUAUCUAGAUACUUAAGAACCUACAAAUAUGUACCAGGAACCAAAAUACUGCCAUGUCCGUAUGCCUCUAUAGAGCAGCCACAUCGCUAACUCCCAGUGUAGCUGGUGUGAACUGUCAUGAUUCUACGAUGGUAACAUGGGAACCAACCUGGGGUAGGAUGCUGGGAUUUGAGAGUACCGCAUUGCUUAAGAUAGAACUUUACACCUGAGCAAAGGCUGCUGGGAGCGCUGUGCUUCCACCUCUCAGUGUCAGGUGAGAGACAGUAAGAUUCCAGGGAUCAGUGGUGGCAAAGCCAAGGCUCAAAUGUGAUCAUCCAGUCGAGAGUUCUUUACACUGUACUGUGCUGCUCCCGUGCGACAUUGCCAUUCUGUAAAUGUGACUAAAUGUGGCUUGUAAAUAAAGAACUCUGACCUCUAGUUUUGGUUCAUUAAGGCCCUUUAGAUGUACAAUGUUGUCUCAUUUCUCGUGUAUAAUUAAGUUUGGAUUAUUUCCAAAGUAUUUGUUGUGGAAUAAAUUAUAGUAAUUUUUUUCUUCU
rnacentral:lncRNA from 1 species